rnacentral:lncRNA from 1 species
AAAUAUUCUAUUAAAAUAUAAAAAAAAAAUAACUUAAUUAAUAUUAAACUUCAAACAAGAUACCAUAUUAUUCCAUAAAAUUAUUUUCGUAAUGCAUAUAUGAUUUAUUAGUGCAUUUCGAAGUAAAAAUAGUUUUUCUCAUUUUUACUUUGUAGAUUACGAGCUAAAAGGUGUUGAAAUCAAAUGAUAUUGAUACUUGUAAAUACAUUAAAUUGGAACAAGACAGUAAAAAGGAAACAUAAAAUAUUACUAAAAGACUAAUUUCUUUUCGAUGAUAUUAAUACUCGUGAAUAUAUUCGAUAUGAACAAGAAAGAAUUGUAAGAAAAAUACAUUAAAAAAAACAACAACAACCAUCUUCACACACACAAAACAAUUUGGAUAAUAUUUGAAAAUUUUGAAGGUCCCGGAUCAAA